AAGACGUCGUGAUCCAUUAGAAAUUGAUACAUUCCACAUGUAUAUUGGGUCAUCAAUAGGCCGAUGUGAAGUUUAUUCGGAACAAAUGGCGUGGUCUUUAACGGUCGCGUGUAUUGUCUGGUAAGCACAUUGAUACCUGUAAUGACUGUCUGAUGGAUUUUAAGGAUGAUAUAUUGAUGUUACGGCAUCAUCCAUUUCGAUGGAYGCUAUAUCUAUCUGAUCAACGGCGGUUAAAUUUGAGAUACCUUUUGGACCCGUCUUGAAACACGGACCAAGGAGUCUAUCUAGUAUGCGAGUAAAUGGAUAUGUUGAAAUCUAUUUGCAUAAUAAACUUGACUGUUAUGGGACUACGAUGAAUGUACGUAAGUCAUUCUUCUUCCAUCCCGGGGUAUUUUUAUCAACAUAUACGCAAGUAUAUGGAAAAUAUACCAUGAGCACACUGGAUACGACCCGAAAGAUGGUGAACUAUGCCUGAUCAGGUCGAAGUCAGGGGAAACCCUGAUGGAGGACCGAAGCAGUUCUGACGUGCAAAUCG
rnacentral:rRNA from 1 species